AAUGUAAAUAUACCGGGUGUCUCGAUCUUGUCAUGCCAACAGCAGAUUUUCGAGUAGCACUAUGUAUACUAUGAGUAUUUUGCACCAUAGCACGUAAAUAACCGAUUUUAUCUCAUUAAAACAACGAUGGGGGAAAAAAAUUCAUUUUCGCGAAUGCGCCCGAUAAAGUAUACAGUAUUUCGAAUUAAUUAUAUUGUCGGCGAGGCAAAAUUUAUAUAAUACCUAGACGAAAAAAAAAUCAUCAUCUCCUACAUAACGAGUAUGUAUUGCGUGCUGCGGGUUUACUUUUCUUUUCAAUUUGUGUAUAGUA